GACGAACGCUGGCGGCGUGCCUAACACAUGCAAGUCGAGCGAAUGAAGUUCCUUCGGGAACGGAUUUAGCGGCGGACGGGUGAGUAACACGUGGGCAACCUGCCUCAUAGAGGGGAACAGCCUUCCGAAAGGGAGAUUAAUACCGCAUAAGAUUGUAGUACCGCAUGGUACAGCAAUUAAAGGAGCAAUCCGCUAUGAGAUGGGCCCGCGGCGCAUUAGCUAGUUGGUGAGGUAACGGCUCACCAAGGCGACGAUGCGUAGCCGACCUGAGAGGGUGAGCGGCCACAUUGGGACUGAGACACGGCCCAGACUCCUACGGGAGGCAGCAGUGGGGAAUAUUGCACAAUGGGGGAAGCCCUGAUGCAGCAACGCCGCGUGAGUGAUGACGGCCUUCGGGUUGUAAAGCUCUGCCUUCAGGGACGAUAACGACGGUACCUGAGGAGGAAGCCACGGCUAACUACGUGCCAGCCGCCGCGGUAA
rnacentral:rRNA from 1 species